rnacentral:tmRNA from 1 species
GGGGGUGCAUUGGAUUCGACGGGGGGCGGAUGCUCCGAGCGUCGCGAUCCGGGUGGUGUAUGGAACAUCCGUAAACAAGACCAUACGCGGCUUAACCGCCGACUAUAGCUAUGCAAUGGCUGCCUAAGCUCCGCGUCCUUGCGACGCGUUGACGCUGCUAGACUCACUAUGUGAGUCGGGUGCCCAUCCGCAACACCGCUUAGAACGAACCGGUGUUGAUCACGGGUGUCGCAUGUUCGGUCUCUCCUGCAGGAGCGUUGUUCGCCUGCGGGAGUAUCGCAGGAACGACGGUACUUGGAUGUCGGUGGCCUCUUGCUUUGGCGCCGAGUACUAAUCAACAAGAGGCUACGAUCGUAGAAGCGCCGGGACAUGCUUUUCGGACAGGGGUUCAAUUCCCCUCACCUCCACUU